UUCGAAAUCGGUAGACGCUACGGACUUAAAAUCCGUUGGCUUUAUUGACCGUGAGGGUUCAAGUCCCUCUACCCCCA
rnacentral:tRNA from 4 species